rnacentral:rRNA from 1 species
CCUACGGGAGGCAGCAGUGGGGAAUUUUGGACAAUGGGCGCAAGCCUGAUCCAGCCAUGCCGCGUGCGGGAAGAAGGCCUUCGGGUUGUAAACCGCUUUUGUUCGGGAAGAAAUUGACUGGGCUAAUACCCCGGUUAGAUGACGGUACCGGAAGAAUAAGCACCGGCUAACUACGUGCCAGCAGCCGCGGUAAUACGUAGGGUGCGAGCGUUAAUCGGAAUUACUGGGCGUAAAGCGUGCGCAGGCGGUUUCGCAAGUCAGAUGUGAAAGCCCCGGGCUCAACCUGGGAACUGCAUUUGAAACUACGAAGCUAGAGUGUGUCAGAGGGGGGUAGAAUUCCACGUGUAGCAGUGAAAUGCGUAGAGAUGUGGAGGAAUACCAAUGGCGAAGGCAGCCCCCUGGGAUAACACUGACGCUCAUGCACGAAAGCGUAGGGGAGCAAACAGGAUUAGAUACCCUGGUAGUCCACGCCCUAAACGAUGUCAACUAGUUGUCGGGUAAGCAAUUCCUUGUAACGCAGCUAACGCGUGAAGUUGACCGCCUGGGGAGUACGGUCGCAAGAUUAAACGUCGAAAGUUAUUGACGNUUGAGAGNGCGAGGAGACGACGAGGAGAGG